GAAUUAGGCUCAUUUUCUCACAUAUGGUGGGACUGUGAUGAGUUGAAACCUAUGAAAGUAACUUUAUCGGAUUUGGUAAAUUUCAUUCUGAAGGCACAAACUGUUAUUACGGCUCAAAUGUUCCUGUUUCACUUAAACAUGCCAAGGGUCAAUAUAAAACUAAAAAUUCUUAUGAUCCAUUUCUUUAUGGCAAUCAAACUAAUUAUAGCUAGAAACUGGAGAAAUAUGGGCCCGUUAGUUUGGCAAGAUAUUUGUGUACAAGUGGAUUAUCAAUG